AACGCUGGCGGCGUGCCUAAUACAUGCAAGUCGAGCGGACAGAUGGGAGCUUGCUCCCUGAUGUUAGCGGCGGACGGGUGAGUAACACGUGGGUAACCUGCCUGUAAGACUGGGAUAACUCCGGGAAACCGGGGCUAAUACCGGAUGGUUGUUUGAACCGCAUGGUUCAAACAUAAAAGGUGGCUUCGGCUACCACUUACAGAUGGACCCGCGGCGCAUUAGCUAGUUGGUGAGGUAAGGCUCACCAAGGCAACGAUGCGUAGCCGACCUGAGAGGGUGAUCGGCCACACUGGGACUGAGACACGGCCCAGACUCCUACGGGAGGCAGCAGUAGGGAAUCUUCCGCAAUGGACGAAAGUCUGACGGAGCAACGCCGCGUGAGUGAUGAAGGUUUUCGGAUCGUAAAGCUCUGUUGUUAGGGAAGAAGCAAGUACCGUUCGAAUAGGGCGGUACCUGACGACCUAUCAGAAGC
rnacentral:rRNA from 1 species